UCUUAUUUCUCCUUUAAACUCCACUGAGGUCACACUCCUAUGUUUGUGACAUAGCAGCAGGUUGCCAUGGAGAUGACGGCUUUAUCAGCAACCGUGUCUUGCCAUGACCUCACAACAAGGUUAGCAAGAAGCAGAUGGGCUGUGAAACAGA
rfam:Rattus norvegicus strain BN; Sprague-Dawley chromosome 11 CRA_213000034361208, whole genome shotgun sequence.